GCAUAUCAAUAAGCGGAGGAAAAGAAACCAACAGGGAUUGCCUCAGUAACGGCGAGUGAAGCGGCAAAAGCUCAAAUUUGAAAUCUGGCACCGUUAGGUGUCCGAGUUGUAAUUUGGAGAGGAUACUUCGGGUGUGGCUACGGCGUAAGUCCCUUGGAACAGGGCGUCAUAGAGGGUGAGAAUCCCGUCUUAAGUCGUUUGUCCAUGCCCAUGCGAAGUUCCUUCGACGAGUCGAGUUGUUUGGGAAUGCAGCUCUAAGUGGGUGGUAAAUUUCAUCUAAAGCUAAAUAUUGGCCGGAGACCGAUAGCGAACAAGUAGAGUGAUCGAAAGGUUAAAAGCACCUUGAAAAGGGAGUUAAAUAGCACGUGAAAUUGUUGAAAGGGAAGCGCUUGCAACCAGACUCGGUCAUAGGGGCUCAGCGAGCAUGCGUGCUCGUGUACUCCCCUGUGUUCGGGCCAGCAUCAGUUCUGGCGGUUGGUUAAAGGCCCUUGGAAUGUAUCAUCCUCCGGGAUGUCUUAUAGCCAAGGGUGUAAUGCAGCCAGCCGGGGACUGAGGAACGCGCUUCGGCACGGAUGCUGGCGUAAUGGUUGUAAGCGGCCCGUCUUGAAACACGGACCAAGGAGUCUAACAUCCACGCGAGUGUUCGGGUGUUAAACCCGUGCGCGCAGUGAAAGCGAACGGAGGUGGGAGCCCUUUAGGGUGCACCAUCGACCGAUCCUGAAGUCUUCGGAUGGAUUUGAGUAAGAGCGUGGCUGUUGGGACCCGAAAGAUGGUGAACUAUGCCUGAAUAGGGUGAAGCCAGAGGAAACUCUGGUGGGAGGCUCGCAGCGGUUCUGACGUGCAAAUCGAUCGUCAAAUUUGGGUAUAGGGGCGAAAGACUAAUCGAACCAUCUGGUAGCUGGGUCUGCGA
rnacentral:rRNA from 1 species